rnacentral:rRNA from 1 species
GGAAGUAAAAGUCGUAACAAGGUUUCCGUAGGUGAACCUGCGGAAGGAUCAUUAAUAAACCUAGUCGUUCGCGUACACAGGGGCAACCCUCGCGCGAUGUCAGCAAUACCUAGGUCACCCUUGAAUAAACUACCCUUGUUGCUUUGGCGGGCCGCCCCUCGGGGCCAGCGGCUUCGGCUGCUGCGCGCCCGCCAGAGGACCACAACUCUUGUUUUUAGUGAUGUCUGAGUACUAUAUAAUAGUUAAAACUUUCAACAACGGAUCUCUUGGUUCUGGCAUCGAUGAAGAACGCAGCGAAAUGCGAUAAGUAAUGUGAAUUGCAGAAUUCAGUGAAUCAUCGAAUCUUUGAACGCACAUUGCGCCCUUUGGUAUUCCGAAGGGCAUGCCUGUUCGAGCGUCAUUAUAACCACUCAAGCCUUCGCUUGGUAUUGGGGUUCGCGGCUGCGCGGCCCCUAAAAUCAGUGGCGGUGCCUGUCGGCUCUACGCGUAGUAAUACUCCUCGCGUCUGGGUUCCGGUAGGUUGCUUGCCAGCAACCCCUAAAUUUUUUACAGGUUGACCUCGGAUCAGGUAGGGAUACCCGCUGAACUUAAGCAUAUCAAG